AUUGAACGCUGGCGGAACGCUUUACACAUGCAAGUCGAACGGUAACGUGGGGAGGAGCUUGCUCCACCCCGACGACGAGUGGCGAACGGGUGAGUAAUACAUCGGAACGUGUCCGCUCGUGGGGGACAACCAGCCGAAAGGUUGGCUAAUACCGCAUGAGUUCUACGGAAGAAAGAGGGGGACCCGCAAGGGCCUCUCGCGAGCGGAGCGGCCGAUGACUGAUUAGCCUGUUGGUGAGGUAACGGCUCACCAAAGCAACGAUCAGUAGCUGGUCUGAGAGGACGACCAGCCACACUGGGACUGAGACACGGCCCAGACUCCUACGGGAGGCAGCAGUGGGGAAUUUUGGACAAUGGGCGCAAGCCUGAUCCAGCUAUUCCGCGUGUGGGAUGAAGGCCCUCGGGUUGUAAACCACUUUUGUAGAGAACGAAAAGACAUCUUCGAAUAAAGGAUGUUGCUGACGGUAC
rnacentral:rRNA from 1 species